UAAGUGGGGCUAAAAUGCGGUUAUGAGUUUGUCAAAUUUUUGGCUAACCUUUUCAUAUUACACAUUAAUGGAAUGAAUGACACAACCUUCCAUAACCCAUUUUAAUGGAGGAUAUAUAAAAGAAUCCCUACAAACUCCAUCAUUCACCAGAUUUUCUUAUUCAAAUUCUAGAACAUAAUAAGCUUCCAAUACGUUCAAGUGAGUCAUGGCUACCAUUACUAUUUAUUGCAAGGCGUUUGGUAAAGCAGCUUUGUAUACGGGCAAAAUCGAGGGCGGAAUAACCCUCGAUUCCCCAUUGAAAGAACUAAAGAUUAUGAUAUUUGUUACCGGCUCGGAAGAGAUCCCGAUCGGGGUUGAGAUCGGGAAGGAAUCAUGACAGGAUCGAGAUCAGAUAAUCCCGAGCUACGGAACUGGGCUGGAGCCGAAUACCGAGGUAGGACAAGAGGCGGUUAGCAACGGUAGAAGAGGGCCCGAAAUAUCCGCCAUCAACCGGAUAUGACGGCGCCGAUUUCGCUCAUCAGAUAACUGAAUAUUUUGUGUCUUAUUUAGACUUGUACUAGGGUUAGGACUCCCUACUAUAUAAAGAGGAGGACCGCUUUAUUUUUUGUCUGUUUUUUACACGCACAAGCAUUCUAAGCAAUACAAAUCUGAUUCUAAGUGUUCCUCAAA